rnacentral:rRNA from 1 species
GACGAACGCUGGCGGCGUGCUUAACACAUGCAAGUCGAGCGGUAAGGCCCUUUCGGGGGUACACGAGCGGCGAACGGGUGAGUAACACGUGGGUGACCUGCCCUCAGCUCUGGGAUAAGCCUGGGAAACCGGGUCUAAUACUGGAUAUGACUCCAUGACGCAUGUUGUGGGGUGGAAAGCCUUGUGCGGCUGAGGAUGGGCCCGCGGCCUAUCAGCUUGUUGGUGGGGUGAGGCCUACCAAGGCGACGACGGGUAGCCGGCCUGAGAGGGCGACCGGCCACACUGGGACUGAGACACGGCCCAGACUCCUACGGGAGGCAGCAGUGGGGAAUCUUGCGCAACGGGCGAAAAGCCUGACGCAGCGACGCCGCGUGAGGGAUGACGGCCU